CGUCAAGUCAUCAUGGCCCUUACGUCCGGGGCUACACACGUGCUACAAUGGCCGGUACAAAGAGAAGCAAUACCGCGAGGUGGAGCAAAUCUGGUAAAACCGGUCCCAGUUCGGAUUGGAGUCUGCAAUUCGACUCCAUGAAGUUGGAAUCGCUAGUAAUCGCGGAUCAGCACGCCGCGGUGAAUACGUUCCCGGGCCUU
rnacentral:rRNA from 1 species